UGGGGAAUAUUGGACAAUGGGCGCAAGCCUGAUCCAGCCAUGCCGCGUGAGUGAUGAAGGCCCUAGGGUCGUAAAGCUCUUUCACCGGUGAAGAUAAUGACGGUAACCGGAGAAGAAGCACCGGCUAACUUCGUGUCAGCAGCCGCGGUAAUACGAAGGGGGCUAGCGUUGUUCGGAUUUACUGGGCGUAAAGCGCACGUAGGCGGACUUUUAAGUCAGGUGUGCAAUCCCGGGGCUCAACCCCGGAACUGCCUUUGAUACUGGAAGUCUUGAGUAUGGUAGAGGUGAGUGGAAUUCCGAGUGUAGAAGUGAAAUUCGUAGAUAUUCGGAGGAACACCAGUGGCGAAGGCGGCUCACUGGACCAUUACUGACGCUGAGGUGCGAAAGCGUGGGGAGCAAACAGG
rnacentral:rRNA from 1 species